rnacentral:tRNA from 12 species
GCGGGUAUGGUGAAAUGGUAUCACAGGAGCUUCCCAAGCUUCUAGCGCGGGUUCGAUUCCCGCUACCCGCUCCA